AGUGAACGCUGGCGGUAGGCCUAACACAUGCAAGUCGAACGGCCGCACAGUAAGAGCUUGCUCUUACGGGUGGCGAGUGGCGGACGGGUGAGGAAUACAUCGGAAUCUACUUUUUCGUGGGGGAUAACGUAGGGAAACUUACGCUAAUACCGCAUACGACCUACGGGUGAAAGCAGGGGAUCUUCGGACCUUGCGCGAUUGAAUGAGCCGAUGUCGGAUUAGCUAGUUGGCGGGGUAAAGGCCCACCAAGGCGACGAUCCGUAGCUGGUCUGAGAGGAUGAUCAGCCACACUGGAACUGAGACACGGUCCAGACUCCUACGGGAGGCAGCAGUGGGGAAUAUUGGACAAUGGGCGCAAGCCUGAUCCAGCCAUACCGCGUGGGUGAAGAAGGCCUUCGGGUUGUAAAGCCCUUUUAUUGGGAAAGAAAAGCAGCAGGUUAAUACCCCGCUGUUCUGACGGUACCCAAAGAAUAAGCACCGGCUAACUUCGUG
rnacentral:rRNA from 1 species